CAGAGACUGCAAGCGUUAUUCGGAUUCACUGGGCGUAAAGGGUGCGCAGGCGGUCGGGUGUGUCAGAUGUGAAAUCCCGAGGCUCAACCUCGGAACUGCGUCUGAAACUACUCGACUAGAGUACUGGAGAGGGUAACGGAAUUCACGGUGUAGCAGUGAAAUGCGUAGAUAUCGUGAGGAACACCAGAGGCGAAGGCGGUUACCUGGACAGUUACUGACGCUCAGGCACGAAAGCAUGGGGAGCAAAAGGGAUUAAAUACCCCUGUAGUCCAUGCCCUAAACGGUGCACACUAGGUCUUAGCGGAUUCGACCCCACUAGGGCCCAAGCUAACGCGUUAAGUGUGCCGCCUGAGGACUACGGUCGCAAGACUA
rnacentral:rRNA from 1 species